ACGCGUAAGAACUUGCCUCUUAGACCGGGACAACAUCUGGAAACGGAUGCUAAUACCGGAUAUUAUGGUUUUUUCGCAUGGAGGAAUCAUGAAAGCUAGAUGCGCUAAGAGAGAGCUUUGCGUCCCAUUAGCUCGUUGGUGAGGUAACGGCCCACCAAGGCAAUGAUGGGUAGCCGGCCUGAGAGGGUGAACGGCCACAAGGGGACUGAGACACGGCCCUUACUCCUACGGGAGGCAGCAGUGGGGAAUAUUGGACAAUGGACCACAAGUCUGAUCCAGCAAUUCUGUGUGCACGAUGACGUUUUUCGGAAUGUAAAGUGCUUUCAGUCGGGAAGAAGUCAGUGACGGUACCGACAGAAGAAGCGACGGCUAAAUACGUGCCAGCAGCCGCGGUAAUACGUAUGUCGCAAGCGUUAUCCGGAUUUAUUGGGCGUAAAGCGCGUCCAGGCGGCAAGGAAAGUCUGAUGUGAAAAUGCGGAGCUCAACUCCGUAUGGCGUUGGAAACUGCCUUACUAGAGUACUGGAGAGGUAGGCGGAACUACAAGUGUAGAGGUGAAAUUCGUAGAUAUUUGUAGGAAUGCCGAUGGGGAAGCCAGCCUACUGGACAGAUACUGACGCUAAAGCGCGAAAGCGUGGGUAGCAAACAGGAUUAGAUACCCUGGUAGUCCACGCUGUAAACGAUGAUUACUAGGUGUUGGGGGUCAAACCUCAGCGCCCAAGCUAACGCGAUAAGUAAUCCGCCUGGGGAGUACGUA
rnacentral:rRNA from 1 species